rnacentral:rRNA from 1 species
AAGGUUAAGCCUCACGGUUCAUUAGUACCGGUUAGCUCAACGCAUCGCUGCGCUUACACACCCGGCCUAUCAACGUCGUCGUCUUCAACGUUCCUUCAGGACCCUUAAAGGGUCAGGGAGAACUCAUCUCGGGGCAAGUUUCGUGCUUAGAUGCUUUCAGCACUUAUCUCUUCCGCAUUUAGCUACCGGGCAGUGCCAUUGGCAUGACAACCCGAACACCAGUGAUGCGUCCACUCCGGUCCUCUCGUACUAGGAGCAGCCCCCCUCAGUUCUCCAGCGCCCACGGCAGAUAGGGACCGAACUGUCUCACGACGUUCUAAACCCAGCUCGCGUACCACUUUAAAUGGCGAACAGCCAUACCCUUGGGACCUACUUCAGCCCCAGGAUGUGAUGAGCCGACAUCGAGGUGCCAAACACCGCCGUCGAUAUGAACUCUUGGGCGGUAUCAGCCUGUUAUCCCCGGAGUACCUUUUAUCCGUUGAGCGAUGGCCCUUCCAUUCAGAACCACCGGAUCACUAUGACCUGCUUUCGCACCUGCUCGCGCCGUCACGCUCGCAGUCAAGCUGGCUUAUGCCAUUGCACUAACCUCCUGAUGUCCGACCAGGAUUAGCCAACCUUCGUGCUCCUCCGUUACUCUUUAGGAGGAGACCGCCCCAGUCAAACUACCCACCAGACACUGUCCGCAACCCGGAUCACGGGUCCACGUUAGAACAUCAAACAUUAAAGGGUGGUAUUUCAAGGUCGGCUCCAUGCAGACUGGCGUCCACACUUCAAAGCCUCCCACCUAUCCUACACAUCAAGGCUCAAUGUUCAGUGUCAAGCUAUAGUAAAGGUUCACGGGGUCUUUCCGUCUUGCCGCGGGUACACUGCAUCUUCACAGCGAGUUCAAUUUCACUGAGUCUCGGGUGGAGACAGCCUGGCCAUCAUUACGCCAUUCGUGCAGGUCGGAACUUACCCGACAAGGAAUUUCGCUACCUUAGGACCGUUAUAGUUACGGCCGCCGUUUACCGGGGCUUCGAUCAAGAGCUUCGCUUGCGCUAACCCCAUCAAUUAACCUUCCGGCACCGGGCAGGCGUCACACCGUAUACGUCCACUUUCGUGUUUGCACAGUGCUGUGUUUUUAAUAAACAGUUGCAGCCAGCUGGUAUCUUCGACUGAUUUCAGCUCCACGAGCAAGUCGCUUCACCUACGUAUCAGCGUGCCUUCUCCCGAAGUUACGGCACCAUUUUGCCUAGUUCCUUCACCCGAGUUCUCUCAAGCGCCUUGGUAUUCUCUACCUGACCACCUGUGUCGGUUUGGGGUACGAUUUGAUGUUACCUGAUGCUUAGAGGCUUUUCCUGGAAGCAGGGCAUUUGUUGCUUCAGCACCGUAGUGCCUCGUCAUCACGCCUCGGCCUUGAUUUUCCGGAUUUGCCUGGAAAACCAGCCUACACGCUUAAACCGGGACAACCGUCGCCCGGCCAACAUAGCCUUCUCCGUCCCCCCUUCGCAGUAACACCAAGUACAGGAAUAUUAACCUGUUUCCCAUCGACUACGCCUUUCGGCCUCGCCUUAGGGGUCGACUCACCCUGCCCCGAUUAACGUUGGACAGGAACCCUUGGUCUUCCGGCGAGCGGGCUUUUCACCCGCUUUAUCGUUACUUAUGUCAGCAUUCGCACUUCUGAUACCUCCAGCAUACCUCACAGUACACCUUCACAGGCUUACAGAACGCUCCCCUACCCAACAACGCAUAAGCGUCGCUGCCGCAGCUUCGGUGCAUGGUUUAGCCCCGUUACAUCUUCCGCGCAGGCCGACUCGACCAGUGAGCUAUUACGCUUUCUUUAAAUGAUGGCUGCUUCUAAGCCAACAUCCUGGCUGUCUGGGCCUUCCCACAUCGUUUCCCACUUAACCAUGACUUUGGGACCUUAGCUGGCGGUCUGGGUUGUUUCCCUCUUCACGACGGACGUUAGCACCCGCCGUGUGUCUCCCGUGAUAACAUUCUCCGGUAUUCGCAGUUUGCAUCGGGUUGGUAAGUCGGGAUGACCCCCUUGCCGAAACAGUGCUCUACCCCCGGAGAUGAAUUCACGAGGCGCUACCUAAAUAGCUUUCGGGGAGAACCAGCUAUCUCCCGGUUUGAUUGGCCUUUCACCCCCAGCCACAAGUCAUCCGCUAAUUUUUCAACAUUAGUCGGUUCGGUCCUCCAGUUAGUGUUACCCAACCUUCAACCUGCCCAUGGCUAGAUCACCGGGUUUCGGGUCUAUACCCUGCAACUUAACGCCCAGUUAAGACUCGGUUUCCCUUCGGCUCCCCUAUUCGGUUAACCUUGCUACAGAAUAUAAGUCGCUGACCCAUUAUACAAAAGGUACGCAGUCACACGCCUAAGCGUGCUCCCACUGCUUGUACGUACACGGUUUCAGGUUCUUUUUCACUCCCCUCGCCGGGGUUCUUUUCGCCUUUCCCUCACGGUACUGGUUCACUAUCGGUCAGUCAGGAGUAUUUAGCCUUGGAGGAUGGUCCCCCCAUAUUCAGACAGGAUACCACGUGUCCCGCCCUACUCAUCGAGCUCACAGUAUGUGCAUUUUUGUGUACGGGGCUGUCACCCUGUAUCGCACGCCUUUCCAGACGCUUCCACUAACACACACACUGAUUCAGGCUCUGGGCUGCUCCCCGUUCGCUCGCCGCUACUGGGGGAAUCUCGGUUGAUUUCUUUUCCUCGGGGUACUUAGAUGUUUCAGUUCCCCCGGUUCGCCUCAUUAACCUAUGGAUUCAGUUAAUGAUAGUGUGACGAAUCACACUGGGUUUCCCCAUUCGGAAAUCGCCGGUUAUAACGGUUCAUAUCACCUUACCGACGCUUAUCGCAGAUUAGCACGUCCUUCAUCGCCUCUGACUGCCAGGGCAUCCACCGUGUACGCUUAGUCGCUUAA